rnacentral:tRNA from 1 species
CUCUCAAUAGCUCAGUUGGAAGAGCACUUGACUGUAGAAGUAGCUGAUAUCGAGGGGCCGUCGGUUCGAAUCCGGCUUGAGAGA